GGAGGGUAUAGCUCAGUGGUAGAGUGUGUGCUUAGCAUGCUCAAGGUCCUGGGUUCAAUCCCCAGUAACUCCA
rnacentral:tRNA from 1 species